CCUACGGGUGGCAGCAGUGGGGAAUAUUGCGCAAUGGGCGAAAGCCUGACGCAGCGACGCCGCGUGGGUGAUGAAGGCCUUCGGGUUGUAAAGCCCUGUCGGGUGGAACGAACGAUCUGGCGGCGAAUAACCGCCGGGUGUGACGGUACCACCGAAGGAAGCCCCGGCUAACUACGUGCCAGCAGCCGCGGUAAGACGCAGGGGGCGAGCGUUGUUCAGAUUUGUAGGCGGCAAGGUGCGCGUAGGCGGAAAUCCCUCGGCUUAACCGAGGUCCCGCAUCCGAUACUGUCUGGCUCGAGUCUAGGAGAGGAAAGCGGAAUUCCCAGUGUAGCGGUGAAAUGCGUAGAUAUUGGGAGGAACACCGGUGGCGAAGGCGGCUUUCCGGACUAGUACUGACGCUGAGGCGCGAAAGCUAGGGGAGCGAACGGGAUUAGAUACCCUAGUAGUC
rnacentral:rRNA from 1 species